GUGUAAUACCCCCACGCAUAACCUUGAAUUGGCAACCACGCUCACUUUAGCGGAACUGUAUGAUCGAUCGUUAACGUGCGCCGGAGGCCAAGAAAUAGGGUUUAUAAUGUUGCGAAGCAAAUGCCCUCGGAAUCAUCCCCUCCGCGCGAUCGUGUUGGGGAUUUGGAUGCGGCAAUUCGAAAGCGAUGCGGUUCUCAGUCAGGGCGGCCAAGAGCUUGCCGCUGAUGCCAUCAAAAUCGAGUCUUUCACUCUCCUCCUCAUCCUCUUCUUCGGCCCCAGAAAUCGGUGUGGGCGACGUGGGAGGGAAGCCCGGAGGAGACGCAGUCGUUGAGGAAGGAGAGGCGAAGAUUCUUAUGGAUUCUGCCAACGGCGUAUUCUACGACGAGGCCCAGGUUCAUAACAGAGACAUUUCCAUUGCUGUUUUAAGGACUUCUAUCUCAAAACGCAAGGAAGAACAUGCUAUUAUGUUGAGCAGGAAAGGAUCGGCAUCAGAGGUCCCUUGUGACAGGCCUUCUGAUUAUUUAUCAGAUGGAGAUUGUCAAAUCCAACUAGACUCUUCAGAUUAUACCAAAGGCAACUUAAGAGAAAUUCAGGAAAUUCCUGCCUCAAAAGUUCAAGAACUCAAAGCACCCACGGUUCUCGAGGGGCAUCUAUAGUUAUCUUUUGUACCUAUCCUUGCAAAUGGAAUAAUGUGCUUUGUUGAUAAAUAUAAUCUAAGUUUCUACAAGGAAUCUGCAGGCUUUAGCUGCUUCUGGAUUACGAUCGCGGAGAUAUGCACUUGAAAUAGAUGGCAUUGGCAAAAUUGUCGCUCUCGACUAUGACGAAUAAUCUAUUGAAGCUUGCAAAAGAAAUAUACAGUUUAAUGGCUCUCUGGCAUCAUCAAAGGUGGAAACUCAUCUUGCCGAUGCCCGAGUUUAUAUGCUUACCCAUCCAAAAUAAUUUGAUGCGGUUGACCUUGAUCCUUAUGGAUCACCUUCUGCUUUCUUGGACUCUGCUGUUCAGUCAAUUGCUGAUGGUGGAUUACUAAUAGUGCACAGCUACAGAUUUGUCAGUUCUUUGUGGUGGCAAUACUGCAAUCUGCUAAUCUAAGUGAAUUCAUGCUUAUGAAUUUUAAACUAGAAAUUUCUAUUUUUAGCUAACCUUACCUGUAGAUAUGGGUAACAGGUAUGGUUCUUAUCCUUUGAAAGCAAAAUAUCACCAUGAGAUGGCUUUGAGGAUGCUUCUUGCUUGUGUUGAGGUGUGGUUCAUCAUCUGAUUUGUAACUAACUCUCUUCUCUAAAUAGUGUCAUCUUACAGGUUUAAUUCUUCUCAUGCCCUUGCGAUGCAGAGUCAUGCAAACCGUUACAGACAUUACAUUGUUCUCGUCAUCUCUGUGCCGAUGGAUUUUUAUAUGCAAGUUUGUGUGCACAUAUUCACGUCUGUUCUCCAUGCUCUAUGUGGUGGCAUAUAACAAUUUUAAUCAAAUAUGUUUUGAACAGUUUGGUUCAUCUUUAGAUGUUGUGUAUUAUAUUUUUUGAUGAGCACUGUGUAGCUCCUUCUCUCCCACAACAAGUGUGUAGGUAAUUUUCUGUGUAUUUUUUUCUCAGGUCUGCUAGGAUGAUGAAGAUCACAACACCACUUAAAACUCUCGUACAUAUAUCAGUGUGCUGGUUGUGAUUCAUUUCAUUUACAAAGCCUUGGGAGGACUGUUACUAAGAACAACACAGACUGUGGAAGGAAUUUUAGCAUGGGUGGGGUGGACCUAUAUGAGUCUGCUGCUCCCAUCCGUGACCAAGAAUGGGUAGCUUCCAUGUUACAAAAUAUUAAGCUGCAAAGGAAGGAUAAGCAUCCUGCAUACAAAAAGAUUGUAGCUGUACUUAAAGCAAUAUCAGAGGUUGAUGUUAUUUACCAAAACUGUUUCAGUUUGCGCUCGGAAUAGAGUACUUAAAUAGAACAUAAAAUAGGUGAAUUUGACACAGUUGAAAAGUCAUGGGAGAUGAAUACAACUAGCUUUCUUUUCUUAUCUUAUUUCUAGGUGUCAUAAUAGCACAUGGAAGUAAUGAAUUGAGUCGAGAGAUUAUAUUGAAGUCGACACAUGGAAGUAAUUUAAUGUAGUAGAUGUUUAAAACUUUAAAAGAUUGUAUGGUUCAAUAUUUCUUUUCAGAGAUUACUU